rnacentral:rRNA from 1 species
CCUACGGGGGGCAGCAGUGGGGAAUAUUGCACAAUGGGGGGAACCCUGAUGCAGCGACGCCGCGUGGGUGAGGAAGUACUUCGGUAUGUAAAGCCCUAUCAGCAGGGAAGAAAAUGACGGUACCUGACUAAGAAGCCCCGGCUAACUACGUGCCAGCAGCCGCGGUAAUACGUAGGGGGCAAGCGUUAUCCGGAUUUACUGGGUGUACAGGGAGCGUAGACGGCGUGCCAAGUCUGAAGUGAAAGCCCGGGGCUCAACCCCGGGACUGCUUUGGAAACUGCCUGACUGGAGUGCUGGAGA